rnacentral:rRNA from 1 species
GACGGAGGCCUCGAGCGUUGUUCGGAAUCACUGGGCUUAAAGCGCGUGUAGGCGGGACGGUAAGCACCUUGUGAAAUCCCCGGUCUCAACCCGGGAAUGGCUUGGUGGACUGCCGUUCUUGAGGCAGGUAGGGGUUACUGGAACCUUAGGUGGAGCGGUGAAAUGCGUAGAUAUCUAAGGGAACGCCUGUGGCGAAAGCGGGUGACUGGGCCUGUCCUGACGCUGAGACGCGAAAGCGUAGGGAGCAAACGGG